rnacentral:rRNA from 1 species
GCCAACAGCCAUAUCACCCUGCAGCCCAAGACUGGUUGCCCACUGAAGCUAAGCAGGGUUGAGCCUGGUCAGUACCUGGAUGGGAGACCUCCUGGGAAAACUAGGUUGCUGCUGGAA